ACUACAACGGCCUUAUCUGCUAUUUAUACUCCCAAAACAGAGAUCGCGCAGCACAAUACUAUAACUAGGCCGUCGCAAAGUUCAGAUGACAUGGAAGCGGAAGUCGAAUGCAUUUGCAGCGGACUAUAUUUAAAAUCAGAUUACAGAAUGGACCAGCAGAUUUCUACAGUAAACGCUAGUAAAAACCAAACAACCAUCCCGUCCGAAAUGAUGCUGGUGUGUCAAGCGUAACAUUAUAAGUAAUCCCGGCUACGUUUCCUCGUAAUCCUCAUCUUCUACUGCGUCAUGGCCGGUAACUUGGACAACUGUACAACGUCAC